AUCGCUUCUCGGCCUUUUGGCUAAGAUCAAGUGUAGUAUCUUAAUCUGAGGUACUAUUUCUGGGUUAGCGGAGUCUGUAACCUGAAGCGUCUGUAACCCGAGGUACCACUGUACAGGCAAUGGGUUGUGUUGUCUUGAACAAAGAGCUGCUGUGGCACAUGACCU